AGCACGCUGUGGAGGACACGGAUGGUUGCCAUCCCCACUGCUAUGUGUGGGCUGGAGAUCAAAGAGCUUACCCAGUCGGAGGGUGUGACGACAUAACAUCGGUGAGAACCACCGCAUGCUCCCCGCCCCCCACCAGAUGACCCCACAUGGCCCAGCUACGGGCAUGACUGCUCAUGGAUGGAAGAAGUGACCUUCCCACCCAACCUGGCCCCAAGUCUAGCUACCAGUCUACUCACCCACCUGUCUGAGCUGAGCCUCCGCGCUAGGUCAGGUGGGUGAGUCAGGGCUCACUCCCCUGAACGGCACCAUCCCGACAACAGAUGUGGCUACCAGAAGCCAAGGUUUGAGAAGAGCAGGGACCCAAGGACAGGUACACCUGUUGUGUGUGGUGGGGGGAAGUCUCCAAAGGGUCUAGAGCCCAGAGGGACCCUGCUCUAGAAGGGAGUAGCCUGAGGAGAGAGGUGAACUGGGAGAUGCUGUUACCAGAAAUAUGGUAGCAAGAGGUACAGUAUGUGGGCGGGGGCUGGUUAAUCAAAUUCACUCUUCUGUCUACCCCCAACAUUACCCUCCACGUGCAUUCAUUUCUACUUAAUUCAUAAGAUAUACCCUGAAUGCUGAAGAUGUGCUGCGAGCAGCCCUAGAUGUUGGGACGACAGAGACAAGUGAAGUGCCGGGCCCUACCUGGGAGUGCUGGUGGGGUGGGGGAUGGGAGGGUGAGCAGGAAAAGCUUUGCAGAGAAGAUGCUGCCCCAGCUGAUUCUUGACAUAUAAGCAGCUGGACAAGGCAGGAAAGGGAUUCCAGGCUGAGGGAAUAGCCUGAGAAAAGGCAGGGCAGUGACACAGCCUGGCAUGUUACAGGAACGAUAAAGAUUUCAGUGUGGGUGGGGCAUAGGGUGCAAAGCAGGGUGGAGCGAGAGCUGCAGCCGGAGCCAGAUCCCACGGAGCCUGAAUGACAAGAAUAAGCAGAAACCUGACUGCUGCAGAAAAGGAUUGUCAUUGCCGGUCCUGAGUACUUGUUUACACUGGGAUUGUACUUCCUUGAAAAGGAAGGCUGGACCUGCCCCAACCAUGAGCAGAUGUUACUGCACUGGCCCAACCUGGCCCCUGGGUAUGGCUACUGUGUGUCUAGCAGCCCCUCAAGACUUCCUCAGAUGCUUUCUUUGGGGGGUUGGACCAGAGAGCCUGAUGUAUCUUUCUUUAGUUUCCAAAGCUGCAGCCCAUAAAAGUCAAGGCUGAGAAGGCAUCCAGUAAUUGUAAAGAAUGUUCAAGGAAUCUGUUCUGAUGA